CAGUCGCCGCGGGAAUACGAAGGGGGCUAGCGUUGCUCGGAAUUACUGGGCGUAAAGGGAGCGUAGGCGGACAUUUAAGUCAGGGGUGAAAUCCCAGAGCUCAACUCUGGAACUGCCUUUGAUACUGGGUGUCUUGAGUGUGAUAGAGGUAUGUGGAACUCCGAGUGUAGAGGUGAAAUUCGUAGAUAUUCGGAAGAACACCAGUGGCGAAGGCGGCUUACUGGCUCAUACUGGACGCUGAGGUGCGAAAGCGUGGGGAGCAAACAGGAUUAGAUACCCGUGUAGUCCCUGUCUCUUAUAC
rnacentral:rRNA from 1 species